rnacentral:rRNA from 1 species
AUACGGAGGGUGCAAGCGUUACUCGGAAUCACUGGGCGUAAAGGACGCGUAGGCGGGUUGGCAAGUCAGAUGUGAAAUCCUACAGCUUAACUGUAGAACUGCAUUUGAAACUGCUAACCUAGAGUAUGGGAGGGGGAGAUGGAAUUAGUGGUGUAGGGGUAAACUCCGUAGAUAUCACUAGGAAUACCGAAAGCGAAGGCGAUCUCCUGGAACAUAACUGACGCUAAGGCGUGAAAGCGUGGGGAGCAAACAGGAUUAGAAACCCCAGUAGUCC